rnacentral:misc_RNA from 1 species
GAAAUGCGAUAAGUAAUGUGAAUUGCAGAAUUCAGUGAAUCAUCGAAUCUUUGAACGCACAUUGCGCCCGCCAGUAUUCUGGCGGGCAUGCCUGUACGAGCGUCAUUACAACCCUCAGGCCCCCGGGCCUGGCGUUGGGGAUCGGCGGAAGCCCCCUGCGGGCACAACGCCGUCCCCCAAAUACAGUGGCGGUCCCGCCGCAGCUUCCAUUGCGUAGUAGCUAACACCUCGCAACUGGAGAGCGGCGCGGCCACGCCGUAAAACACCCAACUUCUGAAUGUUGACCUCGAAUCAGGUAGGAAUACCCGCUGAACUUAAGC